CCUACGGGGGGCAGCAGUGGGGAAUAUUGGGCAAUGGGCGCAAGCCUGACCCAGCAACGCCGCGUGAAGGAAGAAGGCCCUCGGGUUGUAAACUUCUUUUGUCAGGGACGAAACAAACGACGGUACCUUACUAAUAAGCCACGGCUAACUACGUGCCCUCAGCCGCGGUAAUACGUAGGUGGCAAGCGUUAUCCGGAUUUACUGGGUGUAAAGGGCGUGUAGGCGGGAGAGCAAGUCAGAUGUGAAAUUCCAGGGCUCAACCCUGGAACUGCAUUUGAAACUGUUGUUCUUGAGUGAUGGAGAGGCAGGCGGAAUUCCGUGUGUAGCGGUGAAAUGCGUAGAUAUACGGAGGAACACCAGUGGCGAAGGCGGCCUGCUGGACAUUAACUGACGCUGAGGCGCGAAAGCGUGGGGAGCAAACAGGAUUAGAUACCCGGGUAGUC
rnacentral:rRNA from 1 species